UAGGGAAUCUUCGGCAAUGGACGAAAGUCUGACCGAGCAACGCCGCGUGAGUGAAGAAGGUUUUCGGAUCGUAAAACUCUGUUGGUAGAGAAGAACGUUGGUGAGAGUGGAAAGCUCAUCAAGUGACGGUAACUACCCAGAAAGGGACGGCUAACUACGUGCCAGCAGCCGCGGUAAUACGUAGGUCCCCGAGCGUUGUCCGGAUUUAUUGGGCGUAAAGCGAGCGCAGGUGGUUUAUUAAGUCUGGUGUAAAAGGCAGUGGCUCAACCAUUGUAUGCAUUGGAAACUGGUAGACUUGAGUGCAGGAGAGGAGAGUGGAAUUCCAUGUGUAGCGGUGAAAUGCGUAGAUAUAUGGAGGAACACCGGUGGCGAAAGCGGCUCUCUGGCCUGUAACUGACACUGAGGCUCGAAAGCGUGGGGAGCAAACAGGAUUAGAUACCCUGGUAGUCCACGCCGUAAACGAUGAGUGCUAGAUGUAGGGAGCUAUAAGUUCUCUGUAUCGCAGCUAACGCAAUAAGCACUCCGCCUGGGGGAGUACGACCGC
rnacentral:rRNA from 1 species